rnacentral:lncRNA from 1 species
AGGUACGUGUAGUCGGGCUGCCUUCCUUCAGGAAUCUGUGGAAAAAAUUGCUGCCCCACAUCUCAAGCACUAAACCCAGCACAGACCUGUGCUGGCAGUGCCAGAGGAACAACUAUCAGGUCUUCAGAUCUGCCAAUCUGCCAGAUGCUGUUAAGUCAGCCAAGCUGAAGAAGCAAGAGCAGCAAGAGCAGCAUCUCCUGCUUGUUCAGAGUGAGCGGUCUGUCUAGCAGAAGACGGUUGCUGACUGCAAGACCACCUGUCAAGACCUGCAGUUACCUCUGGGGGCCCUACUGAACCAGCAAGCAAAGACAUCAGGAUGCAUUACAGCUUUGAUUUUGCUCAACAAGUGCACUAGCCUGCAGCCAGGUGCACUAGCCUGCAGCCAGGUCCCAUCUACUUCUUUACUCCUCGGAAGUGUGGCUUGUUUGGUGUCUGCUGUGAAGGAAUACCACAACAAGUCAACUACUUGAUUGAUGAAGGCAUGUUGUCCAGCAAAGUGAAGGACAGCACUCUGACAGGGGUCAACAUCCCACAGCUGGUUGGACUGGAGGAUGGUACGGUGCUGGUGGAAAGCUAUGGCUGGCAACAACACCUGACUCUCUACUUCAGGCCGCUGCUGCAGAUCAAACAGUACCGGCACUUCACCUUUAAUGCUCUGGAGCCUGGUGUUGUCGGCAAGGAGCGUUCGGACUCAGUCAGGACCAGGUUUCAGCAGCUGUGCAACGCUGACAUCCUUCCUCCCAUAGAUGGUCUGCCUGUACAAGCACCACCUGGACUGGACACAGCUAGACAAACAUAUAUUUUUGAGAAGAUAAGGGAGUUUUGUUACAAAGAGACUAUGGACGUCACAUGCCCUGCAACAAAGUCAAGGGCAGGACAGAAACAGGCUCUCCGAAUAUAGAUUCCCUUGUUCAUGCAUGGUUCGGACAGACCAGUUAUGUUUUACUUUUACUUCACUACAUUCUGAAUAAAAAUAUGUAUUUUUUACUCCAUACAUUUUCCCUGACACUGAAAGUACUUGCUACAUUUUGACAGGAAAAUUGUUAAAUUCACACAUUAAUCAAUAGAACAUCCCUGGCCAUCCCUACUGCAUCUGAUCUGGCAGACUCACUAAACACAAGUCCUUUGUUUGUAAAUUACGUAAUAAAGAAAUACACAUAAAAUUGUGCCAUCUGGUUUAUUA